rnacentral:rRNA from 1 species
AGAGUUUGAUCCUGGCUCAGAAUGAACGCUGGCGGCGUGCCUAACACAUGCAAGUCGGAUGUGCCGCAAGGUGCAUGGCAGACGGGUGAGUAACGCGUAGGGAAUCUACCUUUUUGUGGGGAAUAACGCUCCGAAAGGAGUGGUAAUACCGCAUGAGACCGUGGCCUGGGAUGGUUACGGUGAAACCUGGGGACCGCAAGGCCUGGGGCAAAGAGAGGAUCCUGCGUCUGAUUAGCUAGUUGGCGGGGUAAUGGCCCACCAAGGCGACGAUCAGUAGCCGGCCUGAGAGGGUGAUCGGCCACACUGGAACUGAGACACGGUCCAGACUCCUACGGGAGGCAGCAGUGGGGAAUUUUGCGCAAUGGGGGAAACCCUGACGCAGCGACGCCGCGUGGAGGAUGAAGGUCUUCGGAUUGUAAACUCCUUUUGUCGGGGAAGAUAAUGACGGUACCCGGCGAAUAAGCCACGGCUAACUCUGUGCCAGCAGCCGCGGUAAGACAGAGGUGGCAAGCGUUGUUCGGAAUUACUGGGCUUAAAGGGCGCGUAGGCGGUGGAGUAAGUCUGAGGUGGAAGAUUAGGGCUUAACCCUAAAAUUGCCUUGGAAACUGCAUCACUUGAGUCAGCGAGGGGAUGGCGGAAUUCCAGGUGUAGCGGUGAAAUGCGUAGAUAUCUGGAGGAAGGCCGGUGGCGAAGGCGGCCAUCUGGCGCUGAACUGACGCUGAGGCGCGAAAGCGUGGGGAGCAAACAGGAUUAGAUACCCUGGUAGUCC